rnacentral:rRNA from 1 species
AGUCGAACGGCAGCACGGACUUCGGUCUGGUGGCGAGUGGCGAACGGUGAGUAAUGUAUCGGAACGUGCCUAGUGGUGGGGGGAUAACUACGCGAAAGCGUAGCUAAUACCGCAUGCCCUUCGGGGAAAGCGGGGGGAAUCUUCUGGGCCUCGCACUAUUAGAGCGGCUGAUAUCGGAUUAGCUAGUUGGUGGGGUAACGGCUCACCAAGGCGACGAUCCGUAGCUGGUUUGAGAGACUGACCAAGUCACACUGGGACCGAGACACGGGCCCAGACUCCUACGGGAGGCAGCAGUGGGGAAUUUUGACAAUGGGGAAACCUGAUCCAGCCAUCCCGCGUGUGCGAUGAAGGCCUUCGGGUUGUAAAGCACUUUGGCAGGAAAAAGAAACGGCACGGGAUAAUACCCCGUGCAACUGACGGUACCUGCAGAAUAAGCACCGGUUAACUACUACGUGCCAGCAGCCGCGGUAAUACGUAGGGUGCAAGCGUUAAUCGGAAUUACUGGGCGUAAAGCGUGCGCAGGCGGUUCGGAAAGAAAGAUGAAAUCCCAGAGCUUAACUUUGGAACUGCAUUUUUAACUACCGAGCUAGAGUGUGUCAGAGGAGGUGGAAUUCCGCGUGUAGCAGAAAUGCGUAGAUAUGCGGAGGAACACCGAUGGCGAAGGCAGCCUCCUGGGAUAACACUGACGCUCAUGCACGAAAGCGUGAGCAAACAGGAUUAGAUACCCUGGUAGUCCACGCCCUAAACGAUGUCAACUAGCUGUUGGGGCCUUCUGGGCCUUGGUAGCGCAGCUAACGCGUGAAGUUGACCGCCUGGGAGUACGGUCGCAAGAUUAAAACUCAAAGGAAUUGACGGGGACCCCGCACAAGCGGUGGAUGAUGUGGAUUAAGUCGAUGCAACGCGAAAACCUUACCUACCCUUGACAUGUCUGGAAUCCCGAAGAGAUUGGGAGUGCUCGCAAGAGAACCGGAACACAGGUGCUGCAUGGCUGUCGUCAGCUCGUGUCGAGAUGUUGGGUUAAGCCUCUGCAACGAGCGCAACCCUUGUCAUUAGUUGCUACGAAAGGGCACUCUAAUGAGACUGCCGGUGACAAACCGGAGGAAGGUGGGGAUGACGUCAAGUCCUCAUGGCCCUUAUGGGUAGGGCUUCACACGUCAUACAAUGGUCGGGACAGAGGGUCGCCAACCCGCGAGGGGGAGCCAAUCCCAGAAACCCGAUCAGUCCGAUCGCAGUCUGCAACUCGACUGGUGAAGUCGGAAUCGCUAGUAAUCGCGGAUCAGCAUGUCGCGGUAGAAUACGUUCCCGGGUCUUGUAAGCACACCGCCCGUCACACCAUGGGAGUGGGUUUUACCAGAAGUAGUUAGCCUAGAACUGCAAGGAGGGCGAUUACCACGGUAGGAUUCAUGACUGGGUGAAGUCGUAACAAGGUAG